GGGGGAUUAGCUCAAAAUGGUAGAGCGUCGCUUUGGCAAUGUGAGAAGUAGUGGGAUCGAUGGCCCACAUUCUCCA
rnacentral:tRNA from 1 species